GAUGAAGAACGCAGCGAAAUGCGACAAGUAAUGUGAAUUGCAGAAUUCAGUGAAUCAUCGAAUCUUUGAACGCACAUUGCGCCCCCUGGUAUUCCGGGGGGCAUGCCUGUCCGAGCGUCAUUACAACCCUCAAGCUCAGCUUGGUGUUGGGCCCCGCCGCCCCGGCGGGCCCUAAAGUCAGUGGCGGUGCCGUCCGGCUCCGAGCGUAGUAAUUCUUCUCGCUCUGGAGGUCCGGUCGUGUGCUCGCCAGCAACCCCCAAUUUUUUUCAGGUUGACCUCGGAUCAGGUAGGGAUACCCGCUGAACUUAAGCAUAUCAAUAAGCGGAGGA
rnacentral:misc_RNA from 1 species